AUUUAUUGCCGACGCAAACUUUGCUUUUCUAGGAUAGCUGCUAGGGUACUACGAGCGUGUGCUUAAAACUCAAAGAACUUGGCGGCUCGUUAACUACCUAGGGGAAUAUGCGCCUUAAUCCGAUGAUCCGCGUUGAAUCUUACUGUACCUUGAAAGAGAACAGCUGGUGUAUUGCCGUUGUCAGCUUGUUGUUCGAGCAUAAGAGAAACAGGCUUAAUGGAGCUGGUGAUUUGUUAACAGAUUCCGUGAAUUCAGGUCGAAAUGCUGCCAAUGGUACUAGGGAGUGGGUAUUACAAUUCUUAUUUGGAAUUACGGAACCUGGAAUAGUGAAAUCUUCAGGUGAAGGUGAACUUAGGAGUAAGGGGAGAUUAAUAUGCUCCCCUGAACAUGAAUCUAACUUGUGUACAAACCGCCCGUCGCUCUCACCGGAAGGGGAGAUAAGU
rnacentral:rRNA from 1 species